UUGGCAUGUAUGUAAUGUGGAAAAGGCAAUUGAGAGGAAUCUUACUAGUGAUGCCGAGGUUGGUAGGGCUGAUGUGUACAUCAGAGCCCAUACAACAAAGGAUGACAAAUUACAGUUUCCCGAAGCCUUUGAAAAAAUAAAGUCGAUUCAGAGUAGUAAUCCAACAUCUCAGAUGACCAAUGUAGAUGAUGCCCUUACAUAGUCAAUUGAGAGUGAUAGUAGAGGGCGCAUGUGGGGUAUAGGUGGAAAUGUAGGCAAGAUUGCAUUGAGGAAGACAAUCCCUAUUAUAGAUAAGCUCAAUAUGGUGACGUAGGAUUGAGAUAAUUUGAAGGAGGAAGUAGGUGAAAUGAAGAAAAGCUUGGUAGACCUCCAUAUGAAGGUUAAUUGUAUUGUAAAAAAGCAAGGGGAACAAGGGGUUGUGGAUCCACCGACAGUACCUCCAUUUAAAUCUAGUCGUGCCUUGUCGGUAUGUAUGUGUUUCUCUAUUACAAAUUUAUGUUUAUGAUUAUAUGCACCUCCAUUUAAAAAUACUAAUGACAUGUUAUACUUGUACAUGUAGCCUGAUUUGAUACAUAUUGGUAAGAGAUGCAAUCUUUGUAAUUGGAAGAAAUGAGUAGUUGCUCAUGGUGAGGUGUAUGAAGUUGAUCCAACUGCCCAUGUCUAUGGAGCAGAUCUAGGCGAAGGAAAUUUUAGAGUUGUCUUGAUCGAGAUUAAAGCUUCGCACGCAGAGUUGUGGAAGGAAGAUGGUUAUCAUCAUACACUUGGAGAGGUCGGCGUAGGAGGAUUUGUUAUUUGGCCCAAGCUAUUUCUAACCAUCUAUCCAUGAUGUUUAUAAUUAGACAUUAUGAAAACUGAGACAAUUUAC